UGUCAAGGCGUAGAUACAUGCCAAGAGGUAGCAUUUUUUCUUCCUUACUUUUGUGUUAUUUACAAAGUCUCCUUGACUGCACGAUGAAGUUCACCACACGGUCUAAGGGUUAAAGGUCCCCCCUCUACACUCCCCUUAAGUGGCCCUGAUGGCAUUCGGUGAAUGGAUUCAAUUCGCUAUGGCCUUAGAGAAAUUCGAUCCUUUUUUUUUUUUUAUUAAAUUUCCCUUCUUUGCUAUCCAUUUUAUAUGUUCUAAACAUGACAUAAUAUAUGAACUAAAUCCAUUGAAGGAGCCCAGACAUCAUUACUUUGCAUCACAACUGUUUGUGCUUGAACAAGAAAUUUCCUGGACCGUCCUUGAUGAACCUUGCGAAUCACGGCCUUUACGUCUAAAAGUUGGGCAGCUUAUUUAUGUCUUCUUUGUCAAGAGAAUCUAGUGAUCCUCCUCCCCCAUCUGUCUUUGAUGCCUCCUCAAGCUGUUAUAAAUUUGGUAAAGAGAGGGUUCCCUAAAGGGUGGCGGAGAUCAAUGAAAACACACAUGAAAACAUCAACAGCAGAACUUUUACUUUUCGUGAGUGGGGCCGACAUUUCGCCCUUCCCUGUGUCUAGUAUAGAGGCCACACAGCCUUUAGACUUAUUUUUUCAAUAUUUUUAGUCUUCAGUAGUCUUUCAAAAAAUCAGAAUCCCACCGGAGAGAAAAAAAACGCAUUUUUCACCUGCUUCCAUACAAGUCCUACCAAGUCCCAUCUGAUUCCAGCCGAUUCAAUCUUUGUAAUGGGAUAGUUGGCAGUGGCUGUACCAAUAGUUGAUCUUUUACAGCUCUUGCUAGACAAAUAUUUCAGGCAACUGCAACUUUCCCUCUGUCCUACUAGUAUUCAGAUCUGCACGUCCAAAUUCAUAAUAGUUUCAGGAAUUUCAAUGAGUUGAUCUAGAUACAGGAGGGCGCUCUAUUCCGUGUUUGUCACAAAUUCAACUAACUUUUUUUCCCCCCCAACAAAGCAGGGUUUAAGAAAUCCAGCUGAUUUGAAUUGAAAUGCCGUCUGGAAUCUGGCCAACCCAAUUUAGCCACUCCCCUCCAAAAACUAGGGUUAGGGCAUAUUUAGACCACCAAUGCUGAACCGAUUCUGAUUCAGAACCGAUUAAACCCCGCCACAAAGUUCAAUUUCUGCUCCAUGUCUUGAACAUAUUAUAGGGCAGCCACUAGAAAUAACAGUUGUUAAGGUUCAAAAAGGGUGGGGGUGGGGUUACAAAUCAAGCGUAUUAUGUGCUCAAUAUCAGGAAACAAAUCAAGUGCAUUACCUAUUAAUGAGCAUAUCCUGUCAUAACC